rnacentral:rRNA from 1 species
GGAAGGAAGUGUGAUAGAGAAAUGGGGGGUGAGUGAAGAAGGUUUUUGGAUUGUAAAGUUUUGUUGUAAGAGAAGAAUGAGUGUGAGAGUGGAAAGUUGAUAUUGUGAUGGUAUGUUAAUAGAAAGGGAUGGGUAAGUACGUGUCAGCAGCCGCGGUAAUACGUGUGUCCCGAGUGUUAUCCGGAUUUAUUGGGCGUAAAGCGAGCGCAGGCGGUUAGAUAAGUCUGAAGUUAAAGGCUGUGGCUUAACCAUAGUACGCUUUGGAAACUGUUUAACUUGAGUGCAGAAAGGGAGAGUGGAAUUCCAUGUGUAAGGGUGAAAUGCGUAGAUAUUGGGGGGAACACCGGUGGCGAAAGCGGCUUUUCUGUUUUUUAACUGACGGUGGGGCUUGAAAGUGUGGGGAGCAAACGGGUUGGGUUACCCUGGUAGUUCACGCCGUAAACGAUGGGGUGUUGGUGUUGGGUCUUUUUCGGGAUUCAGUGCGGCAGCUUAGGCUUUAAGCACUCCGCCUGGGGAGUACGAUCGCCAAGGUUGAAACUCAAAGGAAUUGAGCGGGGGCCCGCACAAGCGGUGGAGCAUGUGGUUUAAUUGGAAGCAACGCGAAGAACCUUACCAGGUCUUGACAUCCCUCUGACCGCUGUAGAGAUGGAGUUUUCCUUGGGGACAGAGGUGACAGGUGGUGCAUGGUUGUCGUCAGCUCGUGUCGUGAGAUGUUGGGUUAAGUCCCGCAACGAGCGCAACCCCUAUUGUUGGUUCCCAUCAUUUAGUUGGGCACUCUAGCGAGCCUCCCGGUAAUAAACCGGAGGAAGGUGGGGAUGACGUCAACUCUUCAUGCCCCUUAUGUCCUGGGUUUCGCACGUGUUACAAUGGCUGGUACAACGAGUCUCAAGUCGGUGGUGGCAAGCUAAUCUCUCAAAGCCAGCUUCAGUUCGGAUUGUAGGCUGCCACUCGCCUACAUGAAGUCGGAAUCGCUAGUAAUCGCGGAUCAGCACGCCGCGGUGAAUACGUUCCCGGGCCUUGUACACUCCGCCCG